AAAUUGAAGAGUUUGAUCAUGGCUCAGAUUGAACGCUGGCGGCAGGCCUAACACAUGCAAGUCGAACGGUAACAGGAAACAGCUUGCUGUUUCGCUGACGAGUGGCGGACGGGU
rnacentral:rRNA from 1 species